rnacentral:rRNA from 1 species
UACGUAGGUGGCGAGCGUUGUCCGGAUUUACUGGGCGUAAAGGGAGCGUAGGCGGACUUUUAAGUGAGAUGUGAAAUACCCGGGCUCAACUUGGGUGCUGCAUUUCAAACUGGAAGUCUAGAGUGCAGGAGAGGAGAAUGGAAUUCCUAGUGUAGCGGUGAAAUGCGUAGAGAUUAGGAAGAACACCAGUGGCGAAGGCGAUUCUCUGGACUGUAACUGACGCUGAGGCUCGAAAGCGUGAGGAGCAAACAGGAUUAGAUA